rnacentral:tRNA from 1 species
GCACCCAUAGCUCAAUUGGAAGAGCGUUUGCCUUCUAAGUAAUAGGUUGUAGGUUCGAAUCCUAUUGGGUCUA